GAGUGGCGAACGGGUGAGUAAUACAUCGGAACGUGUCCUGUAGUGGGGGAUAGCCCGGCGAAAGCCGGAUUAAUACCGCAUACGAUCUACGGAAGAAAGCGGGGGAUCUUAGGACCUCGCGCUAUAGGGGCGGCCGAUGGCAGAUUAGCUAGUUGGUGGGGUAAAGGCCUACCAAGGCGACGAUCUGUAGCUGGUCUGAGAGGACGACCAGCCACACUGGGACUGAGAUACGGCCCAGACUCCUACGGGAGGCAGCAGUGGGGAAUUUUGGACAAUGGGGGAAACCCUGAUCCAGCAACGCCGCGUGUGUGAAGAAGGCCUUCGGGUUGUAAAGCACUUUUGUCCGGAAAGAAAACUUCUUGGUUAAUACCUGGGGAGGAUGACGGUACCGGAAGAAUAAGCACCGGCUAACUACGUGCCAGCAGCCGCGGUAAUACGUAGGGUGCGAGCGUUAAUCGGAAUUACUGGGCGUAAAGCGUGCGCAGGCGGUUCGUUAAGAUAGAUGUGAAAUCCCCGGGCUUAACCUGGGAACUGCAUUUGUGACUGGCGAGCUAGAGUAUGGCAGAGGGGGGUAGAAUUCCACGUGUAGCAGUGAAAUGCGUAGAGAUGUGGAGGAAUACCGAUGGCGAAGGCAGCCCCCUGGGCCAAUACCGACGCUCAUGCACGAAAGCGUGGGGAGCAAACAGGAUUAGAUACCCUGGUAGUCCACGCCCUAAACGAUGUCAACUAGUUGUUGGGGAUUCAUUUCCUUAGUAACGUAGCUAACGCGUGAAGUUGACCGCCUGGGGAGUACGGUCGCAAGAUUAAAACUCAAAGGAAUUGACGGGGACCCGCACAAGCGGUGGAUGAUGUGGAUUAAUUCGAUGCAACGCGAAAAACCUUACCUACCCUUGACAUGGUCAGAACCCUGCUGAAAGGUGGGGGUGCUCGAAAGAGAACCGAUACACAGGUGCUGCAUGGCUGUCGUCAGCUCGUGUCGUGAGAUGUUGGGUUAAGUCCCGCAACGAGCGCAACCCUUGUCCUUAGUUGCUACGCAAGAGCACUCUAAGGAGACUGCCGGUGACAAACCGGAGGAAGGUGGGGAUGACGUCAAGUCCUCAUGGCCCUUAUGGGUAGGGCUUCACA
rnacentral:rRNA from 1 species